rnacentral:pre_miRNA from 1 species
AUAAUACUCCCUCCGUCCGGAAAUACUUGUCAUCAAAAUGGAUGAAAGGGGAUGUAUCUAGACGUAUUUUAGUUUUAGAUACAUCUUUUUUUAUUCAUUUUGGUGACAAGUAUUGUCGGACGGAGGGAGUAAAAC